rnacentral:rRNA from 1 species
GACGAACGCUGGCGGCGUGCCUAAUACAUGCAAGUAGAACGCACAGUUUAUACCUUAGCUUGCUACACCAUAGACUGUGAGUUGCGAACGGGUGAGUAACGCGUAGGUAACCUGCCUGGUAGCGUGGGAUAACUAUUGGUAACGAUAGCUAAUACCGCAUAAUAUUGAUUAUUGCAUGAUAAUUGAUUGAAAGAUGCUAUUGCAUCACUACCAGAUGGACCUGCGUUGUAUUAGCUAGUAGGUGAGGUAACGGCGCACCUAGGCGACGAUACAUAGCCGACCUGAGAGGGUGAUCGGCAAAACUGGGACGGAGACACGGCCCAGACUCCUACGGGAGGGAGCAGGAGGGGAUCUUCGGCAAUGGACGAAAGGCUGAACGAGCAACGCCGGGUGAGUGAAGAAGGUUUUCGGAUCGUAAAGCUCAGUUGUAAGAGAAGAACGGGUGUGAGAGUGGAAAGUUCACACUGUGACGGUAUCUUAACAGAAAGGGACGGCUAACUACGUG